CCUACGGGUGGCAGCAGUGGGGAAUAUUGGGCAAUGGGCGAAAGCCUGACCCAGCAACGCAGCGUGAAGGAAGAAGGCUUUCGGGUUGUAAACUUCUUUUGACAGGGAAGAGCAGAAGACGGUACCUGUCGAAUAAGCCAUGGCUAACUACGUGCCAGCAGCCGCGGUAAUACGUAGGUGGCAAGCGUUGUCCGGAUUUACUGGGUGUAAAGGGCGUGUAGGGGGGCUGUCAAGUCAGAUGUGAAAUCCGGGGGCUCAACCCCCGAACUGCAUUUGAAACUGUUGGUCUUGAGUAUCGGAGAGGCAGGCGGAAUUCGUGGUGUAGCGGUGAAAUGCUUAGAUAUUAGGAGGAACACCAGUGGCGAAGGCAGCCUGCUGGACGACAACUGACGGUGAGGCUCGAAAGCGUGGGGAGCAAACAGGAUUAGAUACCCGUGUAGUC
rnacentral:rRNA from 1 species